AGUUAAUUAAUUUAAAUAAAAAUUUUUAUUUUGAAAAUAAACCUUAGAGCUUAAUUCUAUUAACUUA
rnacentral:tRNA from 2 species